rnacentral:rRNA from 1 species
CGUGGGUAACCUGCCCAAGAGAUCGGGAUAACACCUGGAAACAGAUGCUAAUACCGGAUAACAACAGAUGAUGCCUAUCAACUGUUUAAAAGAUGGUUCUGCUAUCACUCUUGGAUGGACCUGCGGUGCAUUAGCUAGUUGGUAGGGUAACGGCCUACCAAGGCGAUGAUGCAUAGCCGAGUUGAGAGACUGAUCGGCCACAUUGGUACUGAGACACGGCCCAAACUCCUACGGGAGGCAGCAGGA